rnacentral:lncRNA from 1 species
GGAAUACUCACGACCUAGGACUACAGGUAAAGUUCCUGGGGACUGCAUUCAUGCUUUGGCUUCUUUACCUCCAAAUGGAGGGAGGGAGAUUUACAGGUUGCUUCCAUGGAUCACAGUAGAAUGGCAGAUGGGUCAUUUUGAACUCCUAUCUUAAUAUUACAAAUAAAUUGAGCAGAUUGCACUAUAUAGAAUCACAGUGUUUAGGGGUGGGAAGUGACCUCAGGCAUAAUUUUAGCUUAGGCAUCACCACUCUGAGGUAGAAAGGAGACUCUUGCUAGUAUUUCACAGCUUGGUGAUUCAUAGGUGUCUAUUGCUAGGUGCUUGGGUGUAAAUAGUGUGUCAUCUCUGCAUCUCUCUUUACCUGAUUCUACAUAUACAUAAAAUAAAACACCUAUAUGUUAAAGAUGUUAAAGCAUCCAUAGCCUAUAUAUUUUCAAAGAUUAAAUCACUCAAUUAUUCAAGAGUCUUGGCCCAAAGAAUUGUACAGUGUUCAUUCUUGUUGCCAUGGAAUUUCACAAGGUGCUACAUGGUUUUCAAAUGUGAUGCUAACCACAAUAAAACCAGAGCCUAUUUGAAAAGUGUUCCAUCAAUCGCAUAUGUGGGAAACAUCUGCCCUAUACACAUAGUGUCUAGUGAUCAUUCUUAGGUCGUUUGUUCUUAGUGGGGGCAAGAGAUUCUGCUUUCUGCCUGAGUCUCUGGUUGAGAACUCAAUUCAUGCAUUCAGUGUCUUCAGAGCACUGACCGACGUCAGAUGCUGUUCUAGGUUCUGGAGACAAGGUAGUGAGCAAGAAGAGCUGAAAAUCCCUGCUCCAUCUCAAAUAUAUCCAGCCAGCUCAUUAGCUAGUUCUCUUUAAAUCUCAGGACAGAUGAUGGGGCUUGGGGAACUAUCACCUGAUUGUUCAUAAACCACAAGCUAGUCGCCAGUCCCCUAUCAUACUAGACUUUAAAUUUUCCUCUUUAUCAUGCAGUUCUAAAAACAUCCAUGACUGUAUUUGCCUGUCAAAUUAUCUAACACAGAAGCAGUGUGGUCACAGCAAAUCUCUGGCUGUUUCUGUGUCACUAAAUCAUGUGUGUUACAGAGCCCUGAGGCCACUUCACCUCCUCCAUUCCCUCUUUGCUUACACUCUCUAAACCU